rnacentral:lncRNA from 1 species
UUCCUGGGACUGAAGCUUGGAAGAUGUGCCAAUCUCCUGACCUGAGGUUCUGGCUCCAUCUUCUAGAUGGAGAAGACCCAGCUUUUAAGUCAGGCUUUUGAGCAAUUCUGCAAUUGUUUCAAACCUACUCAUGGAUUCCCCAGCUAUGGAACAGCCUGAAGGAGCCUCAUUGUGAAAGCAAGCACAAGCCUUGGGCUUGCUACUCACAGACCAAGUGGGAAAGCCUGGCUCUGCUGGAGAACUCCACUGAGAAAUUAAUCGUGGGCCAGAUCCUUACCGAAAGCUGCUUGAAGAAAUCUCCUUGCCAUUUCCAGACUGGAGACCUUUUGUUUUCAUUCAGCGAAGUACCAGUUCUGUAAGAGACAGCUUUCUCCACUCAGCAUCUUUGGGACACCCAUCGAUCAACGACAGGGAAUUGAAGUAAGAGGAGGGUGGCUUGGAAAAUAAACUCUUCACAUUCAACUGACGAAGUGGGAAA